UUUGAGGCUUCCGUGUGUCGUCGCGUUAAACGAUCGCAGAACGAUUUAUUUCUCUUUUUCACCUCGAUUUUGGCCUCUUGUGAUUUACCAAAACCAACAUGUGGAGUAACAACGCUGACGAAGGAGUUUCAUCAGUAGAGUGUGUCCUGGUAAACGUGUGCUCGGAAACAUGCAGAUUACAGUAUCUACAGAGCCGACCUUGAGGCUAGUUUUUGCAUGACAUCCACUGAUGGAUAAUCUGUUUACCUAAAAACAGGGUGGUGUUCAUACAAAGCAACUUAUUGCUCUUCUGCUUGAGAGAAAGUUACUGCUGGGGCUCUCCUGCUAAGGUUGUCUAAAGGUUGUCUUAAUUCUAAAAGUCAUUUAUCUGAAUAUGAAAGGCUUAAGUCAUAGCAAGUUUUGAAUGAAUGACUUCACAAUCUGUUUUAAUAAUGUUUAUUUACAAUGUAUUUUAUUCCACUGACCUGAAUCGUGCAGAAUUCUGGCUUGAUGUUUAGUCCACCGAUUGUCUUCUCCAACCUCUGAGUGAAGCCACCACGAGUGGUCGUGUUAACCAAUUUUUUAUCUUAGUGCACAGUGAGUGUGUCUACAUAGUCUAAACGCUUAAUAAACUGAUAACGUGUCAUUUAAAUGCGUAAAAUGGUUUUCUUUUAUAGGGUAAAGCCCAUAAAUGGCAAAAACUGAUUGGCACAGCACUUCAGGAGAAACCUGCCUGUGAUCUGCUAAGAUGCACAGAUCCAACUCUGGCCCAUUGCCAUCCCAACACCUCAUCUGCCAUCAGUUUCGUUUAGUGUUGGUCUAUUGCAAAAGUUCUUAUAAAUUUUAAAUGAGACUUUGUGUUAAGCAGGGGUUUCCAAACUUUAAAUUCCACAACAUAUUAAAGGGAUACUUCACCGAUUUAGCAUUCAGCUUUGUAUCUGUAGAAACCCGGCAGUAUUACUGAAUGACCAUGUUUCC